rnacentral:lncRNA from 1 species
AAUAUUUCAUAAUUUUUCAUGGAUAUCAGAGUAUUUAUAGUCAUUAUGUUAUACAGUUGCAUUUCUAGAAUUAUGUCCAAGAAAUUAUGAUAUGAUCAUGUUUAGUUUUUAAAAGUGUUACUAUUUUUCAGAAGUUCUUAGCGAUAAAUAGUGCAAGAAUUUUCAGAAAAUAGUAUAAAUGGAAAAGUUUAUUUAUUUUCAACUAUCCACUCACUGAGUUGUAAACUCAUAUCUUUUUAUUAUGUUUUCCUAUCAGGAGAAGGUCGAUUUUGAGAUACUGGGAAAAAGCCUGCUGAAGCGAAAGAGACAGUUUCAUAAGUAUGUAAUGAAUAUUUGGGAAACUUAUGUUUAUUAAGUAAUUGUCUAAUUUUGGGUGUCAAGCAUAUUUGUAGAAGGGUUUGCAAGUGAUAUAAUACUUGCAUGUUAAUAGGAUGAUGUUGUAAAAACACUCAGUCGAAUUUUGUUAUAUUUUGUAGUAGUUGUGGUAGCAUUAGAGGAAGUGGUGGUUUGCAAAACUUUUGGUUUAAAUGUCUAUUUGAGAUUUUGAUGAUUUUUCAGGUUGGUUUUGUCCAUGUUACAGGGGAAACUCUGUCAAAAUUUUUAUAGAUAUUAGCACAGUUAAAAUAGGUCAAGUUUGCCUUGGUGGUGGGUCCGGUAUUUUGCUGGCAUCUACUACCGGCGCACGACACGUGUCGAGUCAAUUAGGUUGAGUCGGGACGGGUCGUGUCAAU